rnacentral:lncRNA from 1 species
AUGGAGACACCCGGACAAUCCGCGCCGGGUCAGCCCCUUUCUUCGCGGGGCAGCAACCCCCUCCCUUGCAAGUCGCCGGGCACUGGCAGAACACUGCCCCCUCCUGCGCGUUGCGCUCCCCGUGAGCACCCGCCGCCUCCGCAGCCCAGUUCAGCUGGCGCCGAGCCUCUAGGGACCCUGGGGACCGGUGGGGGACCGAGUGCGGGACUUUGGGCUCCAGUUCUGCCUGGGGCGGGUGUGGGGCGAGGAGUGCGUGCCGGGUCCCCUGCUCCAGAGGCGACCUGGGGAUUCUGGGGAACGUCUCGGCCGCGCUGCAUAGCCAGCAGCCUGUUUUUGCCAGCAGUCAAUGGAAACGGCUGUGUGUCCACAACGCAAGGACUGCUUUAGCUCCGUUGAUCACAUGUAAGAACUCACUGAUUCCCCAAGAAUAUAUCAGUGGAACUCCAGAGGCCUCCAGUCUCCAGUCUGCUCCAGUCCUGCUUUGGGCCAUUUGGUGAGCUAAUUACAAAAGUUGUAUUUGGAUAGACCAUGAAAAUAACAACAUAAAGCUACAAUUGAUGCUACAUCAAGCUUUGUACAUGUUCAGUCUAACUACCCUGGUAAUUCUGCAUAACAGGAAUACUGUUAUCACAGUUUUAUAGUGGGGAGGGCUGGCCUCAAAUAUCAGAUCAUUACCGUGGAAUUCAAAUACCUCAGUCCCUUCAAAGCUUCUUUUGUACACCUUACUCCCUGCCUGAUAAGAGUGACUUCAUACAACCUGUCAUAAAAGAGCAGCGUCUACUGUUUUUGUUCAGUUUGAUCUUGCAGGUCAAGACUGGAAGUUCUAGAGUCAGACCAACUUGGAUUCUAAACCUUUCUAGCAUGUGACUCUGAAGGACAUCGCAUAAUUGUCCUAUACCUCAGUUUCCUUAUCUCUGAAGGGAGGGAAGUUUAUCAGAGGACUAUUGUGAUAAAUGAGUUAUAUUUGUAAAGGGGUUAGAAAAGUCCUGAAGCAAUACUAAUUCAUUGAUAGUUACGUGUUUUUAUUAUUCACACACACACAUACAGCUCUUAAUAAAUGUUGAUUGACCUGUCUGAAAAGGGAUCA